rnacentral:rRNA from 1 species
UACGUAGGGGGCAAGCGUUGUCCGGAUUUAUUGGGCGUAAAGAGCGUGUAGGCGGCUUUGCAAGUCCGUUGUGAAAACUCGAGGCUCAACCUCGAGACGCCGGUGGAAACUGCAAAGCUAGAGUCCGGAAGAGGAGAGUGGAAUUCCUGGUGUAGCGGUGAAAUGCGCAGAUAUCAGGAAGAACACCCGUGGCGAAGGCGGCUCUCUGGGACGGUACUGACGCUGAGGAGCGAAAGCUAGGGGAGCAAACAGG